rnacentral:rRNA from 1 species
UUAAAUUGAAGAGUUUGAUCAUGGCUCAGAUUGAACGCUGGCGGCAGGCCUAACACAUGCAAGUCGAACGGUAACAGGAAACAGCUUGCUGUUUCGCUGACGAGUGGCGGACGGGUGAGUAAUGUCUGGGAAACUGCCUGAUGGAGGGGGAUAACUACUGGAAACGGUAGCUAAUACCGCAUAACGUCGCAAGACCAAAGAGGGGACCUUAGG